GAUAAACGCUGGCGGCGUGCCUAACACAUGCAAGUCGAACGAUCCCGCAAGGGAGAGUGGCGGAAGGGUGAGUAACACGUGGGAAUCUACCUCCUCGCAGGGAACAACCUCUCGAAAGAGAGGCUAAUACCCAAAGGGUCAGAAAUGAUCAGAGUCGAAAGGCGUGAGGAGAGGAGCCCGCGGCCCAUCAGCUAGUUGGUGAGGUAAUGGCUUACCAAGGCUACGACGGGUAGGGGAUCUGAGAGGAUGUCCCCCACACUGGAACUGAAACACGGUCCAGACGCCUACGGGUGGCAGCAGUGAGGAAUAUUGGACAAUGGGCGAAAGCCCGAUCCAGCAACGCCGCGUGGAGGAUGAAGGCCUUGGGUCGUAAACUUCUUUAGAGGGAGACGAGAAAGGACGGUAUCCCUAGAAUAAGCGACGGCAAACUACGUGCCAGCAGCCGCGGUAAU
rnacentral:rRNA from 1 species